UACGUAGGGGGCGAGCGUUGUCCGGAUUUAUUGGGCGUAAAGAGCGUGUAGGCGGCCAGGUAGGUCUGCUGUGAAAACUCGAGGCUCAACCUCGAGACGUCGGCGGAAACCAUCUGGCUAGAGUCCGGAAGAGGAGAGUGGAAUUCCUGGUGUAGCGGUGAAAUGCGCAGAUAUCAGGAAGAACACCCGUGGCGAAGGCGGCUCUCUGGGACGGUACUGACGCCGAGACGCGAAAGCGUGGGGAGCGAACAGG
rnacentral:rRNA from 1 species